rnacentral:rRNA from 1 species
UUUNAUUAGANGCAACGCGAAGAACCUUUACAGGUCUUGANNUCCUUUGACAAUCAUAGAGAUAGGACUUUCCCNUCGGGGNCAAAGUGACAGGUGGUGCAUGGUUGUCGUCAGCUCGNGUCGUGAGAUGUUGGGUUAAGUCCCGCAACGAGCGCAACCCCUAUUGUUAGUUGCCAGCAUUCAGUUGGGCACUCUAAUGAGACUGCCGGUGACAAACCGGAGGAAGGUGGGGAUGACGUCAAAUCAUCAUGCCCCUUAUGACCUGGGCUACACACGUGCUACAAUGGAUGGUACAACGAGCAGCAAGACCGCGAGGUCAAGCGAAUCUCUUAAAGCCAUUCUCAGUUCGGAUUGUAGGCUGCAACUCGCCUACAUGAAGCCGGAAUCGCUAGUAAUCGCGGAUCAGCACGCCNCGNUGANUACGUUCCCGGGUCUUGUACACACCGCCCGUCACACCACGAGAGUUUGUAACACCCGAAGUCGGUGAGGUAACCUUUUUGGAGCCAGCCGCCUAAGGUGGGACANAUGAUUGGGGUGAANNCGUAACANNNNNNCCAAGGGCGAA